GGUUAUAUGGUGUAAAAGUUAGCACUCUGGACUCUGAAUCCAGUGAUCUGAGUUCAAAUUUUAGUAGGACCU
rnacentral:tRNA from 1 species